rnacentral:tRNA from 5 species
GGGUCCGUAGCUCAACCGGUAGAGCAAUUCCCUUUUAAGGAAGAGGUUGUGGGUUCGAGUCCCACCGGACUCA